rnacentral:rRNA from 1 species
AACGCUAGCUACAGGCUUAACACAUGCAAGUCGAGGGGUCUUUCUGGAGCUUGCUUUAGAAAGACGACCGGCGCACGGGUGAGUAACGCGUAUCCAACCUGCCCUUCAUAUUGGGAUAGCCUUCCGAAAGGGAGAUUAAUACCGAAUAACAUGAGAGAGUUGCCUGAUUUUCUCAUGAAAGCUCCGGCGAUGAAGGAUGGGGAUGCGUUCCAUUAGGUAGUAGGCGGGGUAACGGCCCACCUAGCCGACGAUGGAUAGGGGUUCUGAGAGGAAGGUCCCCCACACUGGAACUGAGACACGGUCCAGACUCCUACGGGAGGCAGCAGUGAGGAAUAUUGGUCAAUGGGCGCAAGCCUGAACCAGCCAAGUAGCGUGAAGGAUGACUGCCCUAUGGGUUGUAAACUUCUUUUAUACGGGAACAAAUGUUGGUACGCGUACCGAUUUGCGUGUACCGUAUGAAUAAGCAUCGGCUAACUCCGUGCCAGCAGCCGCGGUAAUACGGAGGAUGCGAGCGUUAUCCGGAUUUAUUGGGUUUAAAGGGAGCGUAGGUGGUCUGUUAAGCCAGCUGUGAAAUACUGUAGCUCAACUACAGCCGUGCAGUUGGAACUGGCAGACUUGAGUACACUAGAGGAAGGUGGAAUUCGUGGUGUAGCGGUGAAAUGUUUAGAUAUCACGAAGAACUCCGAUUGCGAAGGCAGCCUUCUGGAGUGCAACUGACACUGAGGCUCGAAAGUGUGGGUAUCGAACAGGAUUAGAUACCCUGGUAGUCCACACAGUAAACGAUGAAUGCUGGUUCUUGGCGAUAUACAGUCAGGAACUGAGGGAAACCAUUAAGCAUUCCACCUGGGGAGUACGCCGGCAACGGUGAAACUCAAAGGAAUUGACGGGGGCCCGCGCAAGCGGAGGAACAUGUGGUUUAAUUCGAUGAUACGCGAGGAACCUUACCCGGGCUUGAAUUGCAGCUGCAUAGGAUAGAGAUAUCCUUUCCCUUCGGGGCUGCUGUGAAGGUGCUGCAUGGUUGUCGUCAGCUCGUGCCGUGAGGUGUCGGCUUAAGUGC